rnacentral:lncRNA from 1 species
CUAUCUGUUUGCAGUCUACAUAAGCUGCCAAUGGAAGGAUACAUGAAAAACAUUGCUAUAACGUGAUCAACAACAAUUACACAAAGGCAAAUCCAGAGUUUGCAAAAUCAAUCAGAUAGAUAUCUAAUGUGAAGCAAAUCAUUCUAAAAAAAUAGAGCUUCGAGAAGAGUAUUACUCUAUUUGCUCACGCUGGCCGUUCAAGGAUGAAGAAUCUUACUAUGCCUUCUAUUGACAUUUGGGUCUACAUUUUGAUCUUGGCUGAACCAUCAUGUGAGCUUCUAUGACCAACUCCUCCACUCCUUCAAUAGUGCAAGACCAGCAAUUUAGGAAAGUACAGAAUCCUAUCAUGGAAAACCUUUUUGUCAAAAGAAGAUAGUGAUGAAAAGGAGGUCAUGAAUAUCAGAGGAAGAAUGAUUGUUCACUGCUCAUUUACCUCUGUUGAAGAAACAUGACUAAUCUCACUGUUGUAAUAUGGGUAUAAGAUUCCUCACAUCAUUAACACUGCAUGAUAAUAUUUCCAUAGAGAAC